AUACGGAGGGUGCAAGCGUUACUGGGAAUCACUGGGCGUAAAGCGCGCGCAGGCGGCUUGAUAAGUUGGAUGUGAAAGCCUACGGCUCAACCGUAGAACUGCAUCCAAAACUGUCAGGCUAGAGUGUGGGAGAGGAAGAUGGAAUUAGUUGUGUAGGGGUAAAAUCCGUAGAGAUAACUAGGAAUACCAAAAGCGAAGGCAAUCUUCUGGAACACUACUGACGCUGAGGCGCGAAGGCGUGGGGAGCAAACAGGAUUAGAAACCCCGGUAGUCC
rnacentral:rRNA from 1 species